rnacentral:lncRNA from 1 species
GGCUGGUGGUUUGGGUCCAACGAGUUAUUGUUGCUAGUGGGCUGGGGUCGUUACAUUUGGUAUCAGAGCCGGUUCACCAGCUGGACAUGUGUGGCGAGUCUCGGCUGAGCCAGGGUCUGGAUGACGGGCUAGCGAGACGAGUCUUACAUCGCCUGGUGAUCUUGGGCUGUGUGUGUGAUUGGACUGACGAGGACGUCAGGGCCUUAACGAGGGGAGUCUGUGAAUCGGAUGGGAAUGGGGUUGUUAUUGUCUUUAUAAGAGACUUAGACACUAGUAAUAAUAACUGCACUUAAGCAUUUUGGGCCGGUGGUUGGGCCCAACGAGUUAUUAUUGCUAGUGGGCUGAGUCGUUACAAAUAAGUCUAAGCUUGUUAUUCAAAUCAUUUUCCACACAAGAAACAUGAUCUUACAUCAUUCAAUAGAACAUUAAACU